AAACAUCGCCUCCUGCAACACACUACAUAUAGGAGGUCCAACCUGCCCAGUGACUACAAGUUCAACGGCCGCGGUAUUUUGACCGUGCAAAGGUAGCGCAAUCACUUGUCUUUUAAAUAGAGACCUGUAUGAAUGGCCAAACGAAGGCUUAACUGUCUCCCCUUUCAAGUCAGUGAAAUUGAUCUAUCCGUGCAGAAGCGGGUAUAAUAAUACAAGACGAGAAGACCCUUUGGAGCUUAAGGUACAAAAUUUAACCACGUCAAGCAACUUAAUAAAAAGCAAAAACCUUGUGGAACAUAAAACUUUACCUUCGGUUGGGGCGACCACGGAGCAAAGCAAAACCUCCAAGUGGACUGGGAUAAUUUUCCUAAAACCAAGAGAGACAUCUCUAAGCCACAGAACAUCUGACCAAGCAUGAUCCGGACACCAAGACCGAUCAACGAACCAAGUUACCCUAGGGAUAACAGCGCAAUCCUCUCCCAGAGUCCAUAUCGACGAGGGGGUUUACGACCUCGAUGUUGGAUCAGGACAUCCUAAUGGUGCAGCCGCUAUUAAGGGUUCGUUUGUUCAACGAUUAAAGUCCUACGUGA
rnacentral:rRNA from 1 species